UGGUAACAUCGGUUCCCGUACGAUGAUAGAAGUUAAGCAACGUCGAGCCUGGUCAGUACCUAGAUGGGUGAUCGCUUGUGAAUACCAGGUGCUGUAAGC